AUAUUUAUCGAUGGUGCAUUAUUCUAGUCAUACAAGUUUUACGAGGGUGGGGCUAAAAAUCCACUAAAGGACAUAUCGUUGAAGUUUCUUGUAUAUGCGCGAAAUGCCAGUUUUGUGUGUAUACAGGGAGUAAAGAAUCUAGGGUAAUAUGUAAUGGCAUACAUGUGAUUCCCUAUUUUCGCGGAGGCUUAGAAUAUAAUUUUAAGUUAAACCUAUGUUGAGUGCCAAGACACAAAAUACAUAGAGUAGUCUGUCUCGAGUGAAUGUAUUGGGAUUAAUAUAAAAAUAAGUGAAAAAAAUCUUGGCCAGAUUUAUUUACUUAAGUUAUGAAAUUUCAUUUGCAAAAAAGACUAGUAAAACGCAACUGUAUGUAAAGGAAAACUUCUAGAAUGUUUGUCUCGAAAGAGGCAUAGAAGUCUGGGGAUUAAGGUACAGAUUUAAGUGGCGAUCUGGUGUCUAUUAAAUCUAAUAGAUAUUUUCCUUAAACGGAAACGGCUCUAACAGUAAUGUUAAGUGGAGAAUAGAGAAAUUCGACCAGACCUAAACUGUAAAAUUUACUUAGGCUUUUACCAUCUAGUUUCGUUU
rnacentral:sRNA from 1 species